rnacentral:rRNA from 1 species
AGAGUUUGAUCAUGGCUCAGGAUCAACGCUGGCGGCGUGCCUAAAACAUGCAAGUCGGACGCGUGCCUUCGGGCACGAGUGGCGGACGGCUGAGUAACACGUGGGUGACCUGCCCACCGGUGGGGGAUAACCGCCCGAAAGGGAGGCUAAGACCGCAUGCGCUCUGGCUCGCAGGAGGCAGAGGAAAGCUGCAAAGCGCCGGUGGAGGGGCCCGCGGCCGAUUAGCUAGUUGGUGGGGUAACGGCCUACCAAGGCGACGAUCGGUAGCCGGUCUGAGAGGAUGGUCGGCCAGACUGGGACUGAGACACGGCCCAGACUCCUACGGGAGGCAGCAGUCGGGAAUCUUGCGCAAUGGGCGAAAGCCUGACGCAGCAACACCGUGUGGGCGACGAAGGCCUUCGGGUCGUAAAGCCCUGUUGUUGGGGACGAAGGGCGAAGGGUUAAUAGCCCCUAGCCUGACGGUACCCUUCGAGGAAGCCCCGGCUAACUACGUGCCAGCAGCCGCGGUAAUACGUAGGGGGCGAGCGUUGUCCGGAAUUAUUGGGCGUAAAGAGCGUGUAGGCGGUUCGGUAAGUCUGCCGUGAAAACCCGGGGCUCAACCCCGGGCGUGCGGUGGAUACUGCCGGGCUAGAGGGUGGUAGAGGCGAGUGGAAUUCCCGGUGUAGCGGUGAAAUGCGCAGAUAUCGGGAGGAACACCAGUAGCGAAGGCGGCUCGCUGGGCCAUUCCUGACGCUGAGACGCGAAAGCUAGGGGAGCGAACAGGAUUAGAUACCCCCGUAGUCC